AUUAUCCUGACAAAUUAAAUAAACCACUCCAUUGCAGAAAGGCUCGGGCCGGCAGGCCUCGCUCCACUGCAGCCCCGGGAAGUCGAAUCAACACUGAGGUGGAACUGCUGGCAGUUCCAGCUAACUUCAGCCAGGGAGGAAAAUGCCAGGGGGUGCUCAGGACCUGAGCGGGUCAGCGGCACCCCGAGCCGCCCUGCAGCAGGUACCGACCACUGCGCCGAGGGCUGAGGCUCCCGGAAGUGCGGAGAGUUCCUUCCCACUGUGUGGCCCUGGAAGCGUGAAUGAUGCCUCAAUGUCCACUGCCCAUGGAUAAGAGACCACAGCUCAGAGACACUUUCUAAGGAGGCCAAAAUGCCUCCACAAAGGAGGCCCAGCAUGAUCCAGAGAGGUGGACUCCCAGAGCCCUUUCUGCAGCACGUGGAGACCCGCUGGGAAGCAGGUACUGGUGGAG
rnacentral:lncRNA from 1 species